CGCGGCCUAUCAGCUUGUUGGUGAGGUUAUGGCUUACCAAGGCGACGACGGGUAGCCGGCCUGAGAGGGUGUCCGGCCACACUGGGACUGAGAUACGGCCCAGACUCCCACGGGAGGCAGCAGUGGGGAAUAUUGCACAAUGGGCGCAAGCCUGAUGCAGCGACGCCGCGUGGGGGAUGACGGCCUUCGGGUUGUAAACCUCUUUCAGUACAGACGAAGCGUAAGUGACGGUAUGUACAGAAGAAGCACCGGCCAACUACGUGCCAGCAGCCGCGGUAAUACGUAGGGUGCGAGCGUUGUCCGGAAUUACUGGGCGUAAAGAGCUCGUAGGUGGUUUGUCGCGUUGUUCGUGAAAACCUGAGGCUUAACCUUGGGCGUGCGGGCGGUACGGGCAGACUGGAGUACUGCAGGGGAGACUGGAAUUCCUGGUGUAGCGGUGGAAUGCGCAGAUAUCAGGAGGAACACCGGUGGCGAAGGCGGGUCUCUGGGCAGUAACUGACGCUGAGGAGCGAAAGCGUGGGGAGCGAACAGGAUUAGAUACCCUGGUAGUCCACGCCGUAAACGGUGGGUACUAGGUGUGGGUUUCCUUCCUUGGGAUCCGUGCCGUAGCUAACGCAUUAAGUACCCCGCCUGGGGAGUACGG
rnacentral:rRNA from 1 species